rnacentral:tRNA from 1 species
GGCACAGUGGUGCAGUGGGUAGCACUGUUGCCUCACAGCAAGAAGGGUUCAAAUCUGGCCUGGGCCU